UAACCAAAACCCCUAACACGCAUGUCUACUUUACAUACAUCUUAUGCGAAGACUUACAUUGGUAACGCAUUAUUCUACAUUAUUCAAGAUUAUCAGUAGUACUAUCAAGUCUUAUACACGCUAACUUAAGUAUAUUAACAUGAACAAUUUUAAAUUUAUUUGCUGAUAAAACAAUUUCAACAUUUAAAUCGUUUAAUUUUCGAAUUAUUUUAUAAGGACCAGUCCAAUAAGAAUCGAAUUUCGAUGUUUUAGGUUCCCUUAGCAGGUAUACAUCAUCAUUUAAAUUAAAUUUGUGAGAGUUUGCAUUUUUGUCAUAAUGUAUUUUACUUUUUUCUUUAGCUCUUUCAAGGUUUUUUUUGCUGCCAUUGCCUGAGUAAUAGUGACCCUUGUGAGAAGCUGAUCUAAAUACUGGAUAAAGGUUCGCGGAACUUCCUGCUUCGCAAACUCGGAAGGAAUUACGGCCUUUGCACCAAAAACCAAUUCAUGUGGAGUAAAACCUGUGGACUCAUGUACAGAGUAAUGUUUAAGAUAGUCUAUGAAUACACGAUGAGCUCUUUCCAGAGAUCCUAAUGACUGAGGGAGAAAUGCAGUAGAGGUAAUUCUUUGAAUUUUAAAAAUCUUACAGAAGUUUUUCAUAAUUCCACUAAUGAAAUUACUUCCCUGAUCUGUAUGAAUAGCCCUAGGACAACCAAAUUUACUGAUAAACUGUUCGGACAAAGCGGCAGCGACAGACACUGAAUCGAUAUUAGUUGAAAAUAAUGGACUCACAAUGUCCAUCUGCACCUUUUCGAACGCGACCUUGGAAGUGUCAGUAAUUCGCAUGGGUUGUCUAGUCUUUGCAGAACGAAUUUUAUUCCUUUGGCAUAUUAAGCAGGGAAGGUCAUGGCAUCACCGACAUUCAAAGAAUACUGUUUGAGUUGAUCAAUGGAAAACCCUCUUCGUGGUAGAAAAUAGACAAGGUUGUCUCUACGUAUAAAAAGAGUCAUUAGCGGUUUUUUCACCUGGGAUCCCCCGCGCGGUCUUGGUCGCGAAAAAACUGGAUAUGUGCUGAGCAAUCACUAGGUUCCUCGGGGACCUCUGCCGUGACAUCGUCGUCAACAAUCUACUGGGCAUCACAGCCUCCGCUACAGCACACUCCGAAAAACAACCAGGCUCGUCAGCCUCUGCCACAACAACAGUCGCAAAAACAGGCUACCCACACCUCUGCCGCGAUCCAAGAUUACGCAAGGCUUGCAACUCUGGCAGCCUUAUCGGAAACGGACUACCUCCAAUGACAUCGGGAGCGGUUGCCUGGGGCACAGUCAUCCCGUCCAACCGAUCGCCCAAAGGAGGCUCAUCACUAGUCCCCAACCGAGGGACUGAAAUUAGGACCUUAAUGCGUGGAGGAAGAUCGAAUUAUGUAAAUGCUGAAGAAGACUGUACCUUUUUCCUAAUUUCAAGACUAUUCGGAAGCUUGUCUCUGAAUAUCACCGUAGCAUCCUGUUUCUCGAGGAAGGAAACCCCAACGAUUCCAGUUUGCUUUAUUGGAAAAUCAUUAUCAACGACUUGGAAGUUAAUGGGGAUUUGAUUAAUAGGGAUAAUAACCUCACC